AUGUCAUCCCCCAACACCUUCGGUCCGCCACCCCCAUCCCUUGGCUGUACCUUUUACACACACACACAGUCUUGCCAUGUCUGUCAUCAGGCCCGUCUGCUGCCCCCACAGCCCGGCAUCUCAGAGCGCACCGGACACCAGGCAUCCCUACCCUCAACGCCCUCUUCCCCCGCCCGGUUUGCUCGAUGGCUAAAGGCACUGCCCCCUGGAUGUCGCCGGCUGUCCCCGCUCGUCGGCACUAUUAAAGCUCCGCUCCGGCCGCUCCUACCUCCAGCGCCACCAUCUUCUCCCGCCGCCGCCGCCGCCGCCGGGACCGCAGCCGCCCUCUCCCAGCUCCGUCUCCGGCUCCGCAGCCGCCGCUCGGGCCCCUCCGGUCCCGCGGCCCCACCCCCUCCUCCCCACCCUCCCGCCCCUCGUGACGCGCGCCGGGGCCGAGCCGCGCCGGCUGGCGAGGGAGGGGGCUCCGGGGCGCGCGCGCGCGCACACGCCCGCGCUAGUAGCGCCUCUGCCUCCCACGCCCACCCGGGCGCGUGCGCGACGCGCGAGCCCGAAGCAGCGGGACGCUGGGCCCCACCCGCGGUUCGCCGGGGCGCGCCAGCCUGGCGUGGUUGGCCGUGCGGGGCGCUGGUGCUUCUCGCCGCCUCUCGCGCCCUGGCUCAAGCAGGCAAGCCCUGGUGUGCGCGGGCCCCGCCUGGGCUCGCGGGCCCCUCCUCCCGCUCCGGGCCGGGCGCCUGGAGCGGCAACUGCGGCUGCAUCCCCGAGGGGACCGACGAGGACCUCCACCCUCCUCGAUGGAAGUCUAAGGGGGUCCCCAGUUUCCAAAGUAGCAGCUGUGGCCAACCUCUGCGCGCAGGAACAGGCCACGCUGCAGGCCCACGUAGCCGGGCGGCCGCGUGGGCUCCUGCGGUGUGUUCUUGCUUUAGUUAAUACCGAGCUUUCCCGCUUCCCAGGCCCCUUAAAUGCUGCCGGCACUUCUCAGCCUGGUGGCCGCAGGAAUCCUCCAGAAAGGGAGAUUCACGGUGUCUCUGGAACGCGCUGCAGUCCUGCGUUUUCGCCGCUAGGGGGAGAGCCUCUCUGGAUUGGGCCCGAGCGAAGCCGGCCGCGUUUGCAGCCCUCCAGGGAACUCCUUGGUCCUGCGGGAAAAGCAGAAAGCCUCUGGAUUAUGAUGCUGGGAAAUGCUGGACUUGGUUUUGCCACCCGCUUCGCAGUUCUGGGUGAUCAGAACUUAAAGUGCAUUUGAGCCUAGCUUAGGGCAUCAGCCCCGGAUAUGACUGAGAGGGAAGGAUGAGGGGACCUGUGCGGCAGAGGCCGGGUGGCAGGUGCUCUGCGUUAAUGAAAAGCAGUGGGCUGGACAGGCCUCGGGAGACCUAGGUUCUGGCGCCAGCCUCACCCGUAAUUGGCAGUGUGAUAUGAGCCAAAUCAUUCCUCCUCUUCGGGACACAGAUUUCUGAGUAAUAAGUUAUAUUUGCACAAAGCCUUAUAGUUUGCAAAACCCUCUUCGUAUACGUAUUCUCACCUAGGGAAAUAAAGAUGAGCCUUGGUUAUCCA
rnacentral:lncRNA from 1 species